rnacentral:rRNA from 1 species
CCUACGGGCGGCAGCAGUGGGGAAUAUUGCACAAUGGGCGAAAGCCUGAUGCAGCAACGCCGCGUGAGCGAUGAAGGCCUUCUGGUCGUUAAGCUCAGUCCUCAAGGAAGAUAAUGACGGUACGUGAGGAGGAAGCCCCGGCUAACUACGUGCCAGCAGCCGCGGUAAUACGUAGGGGGCUAGCGGUAUCCGGAAUUACUGGGCGAAAAGGGUGCGUAGGUGGGUUCUUAAGUCAGAGGUGAAAGGCUACGGCUCAACCGUAGUAAGCCUUUGAAACUGGGGAACUUGAGUGCAGGAGAGGAGAGUGGAAUUCCUAGUGUAGCGGUGAAAUGCGUAGAUAUUAGGAGGAACACCAGUUGCGAAGGCGGCUCUCUGGACUGUAACUGACACUGAGGCACGAAAGCGUGGGGAGCAAACAGGAUUAGAUACCCCUGUAGUC